AUGAACGCUGGCGGCGUGCCUAAUACAUGCAAGUCGAGCGAACGGACGAGAAGCUUGCUUCUCUGAUGUUAGCGGCGGACGGGUGAGUAACACGUGGAUAACCUACCUAUAAGACUGGGAUAACUUCGGGAAACCGGAGCUAAUACCGGAUGAUAUUUUGAACCGCAUGGUUCAAAAGUGAAAGACGGUCUUGCUGUCACUUAUAGAUGGAUCCGCGCUGCAUUAGCUAGUUGGUAAGGUAACGGCUUACCAAGGCAACGAUGCAUAGCCGACCUGAGAGGGUGAUCGGCCACACUGGAACUGAGCCACGGUCCAGACUCCUACGGGAGGCAGCAGUAGGGAAUCUUCCGCAAUGGGCGAAAGCCUGACGGAGCAACGCCGCGUGAGUGAUGAAGGUCUUCGGAUCGUAAAACUCUGUUAUUAGGGAAGAACAUAUGUGUAAGUAACUGUGCACAUCUUGACGGUACCUAAUCAGAAAGCCACGGCUAACUACGUG
rnacentral:rRNA from 1 species